CGCGGCCUAUCAGCUUGUUGGUGGGGUAACGGCCCACCAAGGCGACGACGGGUAGCUGGCGUGAGAGCGUGGUCAGCCACACUGGGACUGAGACACGGCCCAGACUCCUACGGGAGGCAGCAGUGGGGGAUCUUGCGCAAUGGGCGAAAGCCUGACGCAGCGACGCCGCGUGGGGGACGAAGGCCUUCGGGUUGUAAACCCCUUUCAGCGGGGACGAAGCGAAAGUGACGGUACCCGCAGAAGAAGCCCCGGCCAACUACGUGCCAGCAGCCGCGGUAAGACGUAGGGGGCGAGCGUUGUCCGGAAUUAUUGGGCGUAAAGCGCGCGCAGGCGGCCCGGUAAGUCGGUUGUGAAAACCCGGGGCUCAACCCCGGGCCUGCUGCCGAUACUGCCGGGCUCGAGGCAGGUAGGGGAGAGUGGAAUUCCCGGUGUAGCGGUGAAAUGCGCAGAUAUCGGGAGGAACACCGGUGGCGAAGGCGGCUCUCUGGGCCUGUCCUGACGCUCAGGCGCGAAAGCUGGGGGCGCAAACAGGAUUAGAUACCCUGGUAGUCCCAGCCGUAAACGAUGGGUGCUAGGUGUGGGGAGCAUCAACCCUCUCCGUGCCGGAGCUAACGCAUUAAGCACCCCGCCUGGGGAGUACGG
rnacentral:rRNA from 1 species